AACGCAUAUUGCACCCUCUGGUAUUCCGGGGGGUACACCUAUCCGAGCGCCAUUUCCACCUUAAGCUUGGCUUAGUGUUGGGGCGGGUCGUUGGCCGACCCCCCCGGAACUUAUAGGCGCCCUUCCAAGCCCUAGGCGUAGCAGGCUAACGCAUGCGCGGCGGGUUCGGUAGGGUGGGACCUAAAGGUUGGCCUCGGAUUAGGUGGGGAUACCCGCUGAACUUAA
rnacentral:misc_RNA from 1 species